GACGAACGCUGGCGGCGUGCUUAACACAUGCAAGUCGAACGGAAAGGCCCUGCUUUUGUGGGGUGCUCGAGUGGCGAACGGGUGAGUAACACGUGAGUAACCUGCCCUUGACUUUGGGAUAACUUCAGGAAAAUGGGGCUAAUACCGGAUAGGAGCUCCUGCUGCAUGGUGGGGGUUGGAAAGUUUCGGCGGUUGGGGAUGGACUCGCGGCUUAUCCGCUUGUUGGUGGGGUAGUGGCUUACCAAGGCUUUGACGGGUAGCCGGCCUGAGAGGGUGACCGGCCACAUUGGGACUGAGAUACGGCCCAGACUCCUACGGGAGGCAGCAGUGGGGAAUAUGGCACAAUGGGCGGAAGCCUGAUGCAGCAACGCCGCGUGCGGGAUGACGGCCUUCGGGUUGUAAACCGCUUUCGCCUGUGACGAAGCGUGAGUGACGGUAAUGGGUAAAGAAGCACCGGCUAACUACGUG
rnacentral:rRNA from 1 species